GAUACCCUACGGGGGGCAGCAGUGGGGAAUAUUGGGCAAUGGGCGCAAGCCUGACCCAGCAAUGCCGCGUGAAGGAAGAAGGCUUUCGGGUUGUAAACUUCUUUUGACAGGGAAGAGUAGAAGACGGUACCUGUCGAAUAAGCCACGGCUAACUACGUGCCAGCAGCCGCGGUAAUACGUAGGAUGCGAGCGUUAUCCGGAUUUAUUGGGUUUAAAGGGUGCGUAGGCGGAAUGCCAAGUCAGCGGUAAAAUCGCGGGGCUCAACCUCGCUCCGCCGUUGAAACUGGCGUUCUUGAGUGGGCGAG
rnacentral:rRNA from 1 species